rnacentral:rRNA from 1 species
AAACCAGGAUUAGAUACCCUGUUACACUUUUUCAAAAUUUGGUAAUUACCAGGGUACUAAAAAGUUAUUCUCUCGAAACUCAAAGAAUUUGGCGGUAGCUUAGUCUAGUUAGAGGAACCUGUCCUGUAAUCGAUACUACACGAAAAAUCUUGCUUUAUUUUGUAUAUUCAGUUUGUAUACCGUUAUUAUUAGAUAACUUCUCUAGAAUUAAAGUUAUUAAAAUAGUGUUUGCUAAUAUAUUAGAUCAAGGUGCAGCUAAUAAUAAAGAAGAGAUGGGUUACAAUAAAUUUUUGUUUAGACGAACCUAGAAAUGAAUAUAUCUAGUGAAGGAGGAUUUAAAAGUAAUAAAAUUUUAAUAUGAUUUUUUGAUUGUAGCUCUAAGCUAUGUACAUAUCCCCGUCGCAAA